rnacentral:sRNA from 1 species
GCUGGGUAUAGUGGUGCAUACCUGUAGUCCCAGCUACUGGAGGCUGAAAUGAGAUGAUCACUUGAGCUCAAGAGUUUGAGGUCAGCUCUGGGACACAUUGUAAGACUCAUAUACU